GAUGCGUCACGGCUGUUUGUGUGAGCAGAAGAGCGGGGAGGGAAGGGAAGCGGAGCCGCCAGAGCGAGAGAGGAGCCUCCGGCCGCAGGACGAGGCAGAGAGGAGGGCGAAAGCCCGCAAGGAAGUUCAGCGGCAACGCUCCCUUCCCGGCAGCAACUCCAUUAGCGGCCACAGCAGCCUCUGCUCCUCGCAGCCGCCUCCGCCCCCUCCUCACAGGAAAACUGGGCGGAAGCGUUGACUUCAAGCUUCUUCCGCCGCCACAGCUUGAUCCAAAAUAACCUCGGGGGAAAGGGAGGAGGGGGAAAAAGCGAGGUGAAGAAAGUAAUCCCGCGGACCCUGCGCCGUCCGCCAGACGGGUCCGCGCCGCCACUCUACCCGCGAUGCCCACCGCCCGCCCAGUGCUUGAGUUUACUGAAAGUAGUUCCCUCCCCUCCCCCCGCGGCUCUGCCUCACGCGCUUCCCGAGGAGCCGCCGCCGUCGCACACGCAGUCACGGCGCCGCGGAGGGAUACAAGUGCCCCGACGGCGCUCUCCUUCCUGCUCCUGCUGAGGGCGCGGGGCACGGUGCGCACGCAAGGCGUCGCGCUCCCGCUUUGGGUCCCGCUGCCCCCCACCCCCGCCGCCUGGUGUGGGGCUGCCUUGGAGUGGCGAGCGGGUCCCGGCCGGCCGGGCUGGGCUUUCACUCUUUUCGUGCUUUUCUUUUAAGCUGAAGUGAAUUUAAUCGCUAAGUGUGCGGCAGCCUCUGUGGAGUGUGGGGGACUGGCGAAGCGGGAAACACCCAGUGUCCCAUUCCCGGGGCCCGUCACCGGCGCGUUCUCACAGCCCGCCGUCAGCCUCUCUGUUGAACGGAACACACCGGUAAAGCGGAAGGACUGGCGACCCGAGAGAGGCGGCGGCGUGACCCUGGAGCUGCGGAGCGGUGACAUGCGGGGCUGUCACUGGCAGACUGCCGCUGGAGUUGAUCCAGGUAAGCCGUGAAACCAAGAAAUGGCAGCAGCCCAACGCAAACCCCUUUUCAGGAACUUAUAUGGCAAGCGUGCUGCUGGAUCUGAUGAAAAAAUGGAGCGGUGCUGCAGACCUCGAGGACUCUGAAAAUCAUGAGUCAGACCAUCAAGUAAAUUAGAUUAUAAUAAAAGAUUAUAUUGUGGUUU